ACAAACAGCGUUUGUAGGGGAGAAAUCCACUACAAUACCAUUGUACAGUUUUGUUAGUGAGAAUAGUUAGAAUACUUCAAAGUUUGCAGUUGUGUAAUAGAUUUAUAAUUUACUUUAGUUCCCCCAAGAAUGAAGUAACAUUAUCUAGUUAAACUCAUGAAAUCCUUACGUUUUUUCAGUUGACACCAAAAGCUCAUUUUAUUGCCAUAGACUCAAUUACAUGCUAAUAUAGUUUUACUUAAAGGUAACAGAUGAUUAUUCAAAAGCUGGUAUAUAUUUUCAGCGUAAAAAAGUAAUAAGGCAUCAUAAUUUUAGAGCUGUAUAUGGAGGUGAGCGCUAUCUAUGAGUUAACAGUGUCACUAAACCAUCAUCACGGGUUACAGGGAAGAGUGUCUCGUCUGGGAGUAAACAACCACACUCAGCGAGGAAGGUACGGGAGCUGUUUUCAAAACUCAACAUCAAAGAUAGUGCAGCCAGGUGUAGGCUUCACCUCUCCUUGUUUAUGACACUGAUUGGGAUGGCUGGGUGAUGGCUGUGAGAUUAAUAACUUAUUGGCGUGGAGGUGCAAGAAUAAGGAUUUUCAAGCUUCAGCGGAAGACAGGGACACUGGUUACAUUGUCUUUCGAGGAGGAGUGACCAGUAGCCGAGGAGGAACCCCAGUCAUAGCGGGAGGAGGAGCCCCUCUGCCGGUCUCAGUGACUCUCCACCACACACUCACUCCACCUCUGCCCAUCAAUACAAUCAAGUUGAGGUGGGUAAGGCAUUUGCACUCUUGAACAGCCACAAUGGGUUGUACUGUACAUCCCAUCUGACACCUACAUUUUACAAGCUCCCUACAGCCCUUAGAACCCUCUGGUGGCCUUGUCAAGAAAGGUCUCCACGCAACAUCCUCUUCCACCCAUCCCCACUCUGAUGGUGAAGGUGUGUCAGUACUGUAUCUGCUACCAACGACUGUCCCCAUAUGUGUCCAGCUUGAGAGCAGGCUCUCUUCAUAUGUUUCCUCUUCGUGGUUUGGAACACCUGAGACAUCCACGAUCUCGUCUCUGCUACGGUCUUACGUCUACCUUCGCUUGUCCGAUCAAGAUAUCUCCAUGGCCCAACCUGGAUUAUUGACUACUUUUGAAAUAAAUU